AGUCCAUCCCCGGGGGGCUGCGCCUGAGCAGCUGAGAGGUGACUGACGUCACGACCCGCCGAACCUGAUCCCGUUAGCGCGGGCGGAGGGAGGGAAUGGUGUCCGCGC
rnacentral:ncRNA from 2 species